GAUGAACGCUGGCGGCGUGCCUAAUACAUGCAAGUCGAGCGAACAGAUGAGGAGCUUGCUCCUCUGACGUUAGCGGCGGACGGGUGAGGAACACGGGGAUAACCUACCUAUAAGACUGGGAUAAUAUCGGGAAACCGGAGCUAAUACCGGAUAAUAUAUUGAACCGCAAGGGUCAAUAGUUAAAGACGGUUUUGCUGUCACUUAUAGAUGGAUCCGCGCCGGAUUAGCUUGUUGGUGAGGUAACGGCUUAGCAAGGCAACGAUGCGUAGCCGCCCUGAGAGGGUCGUCGGCCACCCUGUAACUGAGACACGGUCCAGACUCCUACGGGAGGCCGCAGUAGGGACUCUUCCGCAAUGGGCCAAUGCCUGACGGAGCACCGCCGCGUGAGUGCUGAAGGUCUUCGGAUCCUAGAACUCUGUUAUUAGGGAAGAACAAAUGUGUAAGUAACUAUGCUCGUCUUGACGGUACCUAAUCAGAAAGCCACGGCUAACUCCGUG
rnacentral:rRNA from 1 species